GCAUUAGACAGAGUAUGUUAUUCUUCGGACUACUUACAAGGUGCUGCAUGGUUGUCGUCAGCUCGUGCCGUGAGGUGUCAGGUUUAAGUCCCUAUAACCGAGCGCAACCCUUAUCGUUAGUUGCCAUCUGGUAAUGCAGGGGACUCUAGCGAAACUGCCACCGUAAGGUGAGAGGAAGGUGGGGAUGACGUCAAAUCAGCACGGCCCUUAUGUCCAGGGCUACACACGUGUUACAAUGGUCGGUACAGAGGGCAGCUACCUGGUGACAGGAUGCUAAUCUCGAAAACCGGUCUCAGUUCGGAUCGAAGUCUGCAACUCGACUUCGUGAAGCUGGAUUCGCUAGUAAUCGCGCAUCAGCUAUGGCGCGGUGAAUACGUUCCCGGGCCUU
rnacentral:rRNA from 1 species